rnacentral:rRNA from 1 species
UACAGAGGUCCCGAGCGUUGUUCGGAUUCAUUGGGCGUAAAGGGUGCGUAGGUGGCGCCGUAAGUGGGGUGUGAAAUCCCGGGGCUUAACCCCGGGACUGCAUUCCAUACUGCGGUGCUUGAGGACUGGAGAGGAGACUGGAAUUUACGGUGUAGCGGUGAAAUGCGUAGAUAUCGUAAGGAAGACCAGUGGCGAAGGCGGGUCUCUGGACAGUUCCUGACGCUGAGGCACGAAGGCCAGGGGAGCAAACGGG